rfam:Pristionchus pacificus strain PS312 contig11390, whole genome shotgun sequence.
UCCCAUGUGGUCUAGUGGUUAGGAUUUCUGGUUUUCACCCAGGCGGCCCGGGUUCGAUUCCCGUCAUGGGAA